UUGAUCAGAUAAACAUCAACUCUUAUGUACCAAAGUUAAAAAGUGGAGUAUUGUAUUCGUACUACUGAGAUCAUAAAGCUGUCUAUAUAUCAAUAGACAUGAAGUGAACAUUGGAAUGAAAUACAGGAAAAGAAGAAGGUCAAUAAGUUCUUAAUGAGUACACUAUACAUACAGUUUCUUCCUGAAGAAGUGCGGCAAAAGAAACAGCUGAAUAAUGCAUGGCUCAGAAAUGCCAGAGAUGGAACAUUCGUGGAUUUUACUGCAACCAUUUCUCUUUUGUAAGCAUCGAAAAUGUUUUUCUCGCUGAAGAACGGUAAUUUAGUUCGCAGUCAUCGAGCGUUAUAAGCUACAACUUUGUCGGACAAUGACUUAUUGUAGAUACUUACUUCGUCAAAAUAUGCUAUAAUUAUUGUAACUGUAUGGUUUUGGGUAAUCAUGUCCGUUGGAAAUCAAUGCAUUCAUGAUGCGUUUCAUGAAAAGUCACGAUGUGCUGUGAGAAUCUAGUGACCAAAAUUAUGUCAGCGUUCACGUAUUUGUGUGCACAGAAAUGUGAAUCACUUUAAACCAGAUUUUUUUUUAAUGUUUAUUAUGCCGGAUAAAGUUUUAAACAUAAAAAUGCACGC